UACUGACAUGCUGCCAAGGGUGCUAAUUUGAAAAUGAAUAAAAGACAGAGCUUUCCCAUUCCCCCACCUAUUUCCAAAAAAGGUAUUGAAUUAGGCCCAAGGUUUUCUUCUAACUGCAAAUAACUUUAAGGACAAUGAAACUUUGUUCUGCAAGUAGUUUUACAUACAGAUUGUCUAUGGAUUAAAAUGGUGAAGCAUAACAAAUGUUGAUUUUUUAAAACAAUUCCAUGCAUUACAUGCCAUUAAUAAAAUCUUACUGACUAUUAAAAAAGAGGACCUCUUGGAUAAAUUGAUUUUUUUAAAUUAAGCUGUGUGUGGAAACAUGACCUCAGUACAGGGGCUCUGCUAUUUCUUCUGCUUGAGAGGUAAUACCCGUUUACUAUUUGAGAAUCAACUUGAAAAUAAGUGAUCUUUGGUAGGUUGUUGGAAAGCUAGGUUAAAGUUUUACAUGUGAUAAUUUCUUACAGACAUUCU
rnacentral:lncRNA from 1 species